rnacentral:rRNA from 1 species
UACGUAGGUGGCGAGCGUUGUCCGGAUUUAUUGGGUUUAAAGGGUGCGUAGGCGGCCCCGCAAGUCAGCGGUGAAAUCCGGCAGCUCAACUGUCGAUGUGCCGCUGGUACUGCGGGGCUUGAGUGGGGUCGAGGCAGGCGGAAUUGACGGUGUAGCGGUGAAAUGCUUAGAUAUCGUCAAGAACACCGAUAGCGCAGGCAGCUUGCCAGGCCCCAACUGACGCUGAGGCACGAAAGUGCGGGGAUCAAACAGG